GACCGCGCUCCGGUGCGCCCGCACGUGGCGUUGGGUCCAAGCGAUGGCAGCAGGCGCCAGGCGACCGUGACGGAGCCCCUGCAGCUGGAGCCAGCGAGGAGGAAAGUGAAUGUAAACAACUGAAGAAUUCGCAAGAGAUGAGAGGGAGGACGGAGGGUGAGCACUGCAAAGAUAUUAUUUCACUGUCUUUUGACCUCCAUGGUAUCUGUUAAGAG